rnacentral:rRNA from 1 species
GAUGAACGCUAGCGAUAGGCUUAACACAUGCAAGUCGAGGGGCAGCAUGGUCUUAGCUUGCUAAGACUGAUGGCGACCGGCGCACGGGUGCGUAACGCGUAUGCAACUUGCCUCACAGAGGGGGAUAACCCGUCGAAAGACGGACUAAUACCGCGUACACUCCAUCUUGGGCAUCCAAGGUAGAGGAAAUGAAAUUCGCUGUGAGAUAGGCAUGCGUCCCAUUAGCUAGUUGGUGAGGUAACGGCUCACCAAGGCGACGAUGGGUAGGGGAACUGAGAGGUUGACCCCCCACACGGGUACUGAGACACGGACCAGACUACUACGGGAGGCAGCAGUGAGGAAUAUUGGUCAAUGGGCGAGAGCCUGAACCAGCCAAGUCGCGUGAAGGAUGACUGUCUUAUGGAUUGUAAACUUCUUUUAUACGGGAAUAACAAGAGUCACGUGUGACUCCCUGCAUGUACCGUAUGAAUAAGCAUCGGCUAACUCCGUG